rnacentral:rRNA from 1 species
GUGAGGAAUAUUGGUCAAUGGACGAGAGUCUGAACCAGCCAAGUCGCGUGAAGGAAGACGGUUCUAUGAAUUGUAAACUUCUUUUGUGCAGGAAUAAAGUGGGUUACGUGUAACCUUUUGUAUGUACUGUACGAAUAAGGAUCGGCUAACUCCGUGCCAGCAGCCGCGAUAAUACGGAGGAUCCGAGCGUUAUCCGGAUUUAUUGGGUUUAAAGGGUGCGUAGGUGGAUUGAUAAGUCAGCGGUGAAAGUUUGCAGCUUAACUGUAAAAUUGCCGUUGAAACUGUCGGUCUUGAGUGCAAAUGAGGUAGGCGGAAUGUGUUGUGUAGCGGUGAAAUGCUUAGAUAUAACACAGAACUCCGAUUGCGAAGGCAGCUUACUGGGAUGCAACUGACACUGAUGCACGAAAGCGUGGGUAUCAAACAGGAUUAGAAACCCCGGUAGUCC